UUCUACGGGAGGCAGCAGUGGGGAAUAUUGCGCAAUGGGGGAAACCCUGACGCAGCAACGCCGCGUGAGUGAUGAAGGUCUUCGGAUUGUAAAACUCUGUCUUUGGGGACGAUAAUGACGGUACCCAAGGA
rnacentral:rRNA from 1 species